CUGUGACGUAACAAUGAACUGUUUCAUAAUAACACACACUUUUCGCUAAUAGGAGAACAAGUACGAUCGACUAAGAAUUGAAAGAUGAGAACUUAUCAGACGAAAAACAAUACGACCGCAACUCCAGUUUGAAGAAACUCUGCUUUGAAAGAAGACAAAUUGAACAGAAAUGUAUACUAUGUACAUAUUGUGAAAUAGCAAUGCAAUUGCCCAAUCCUA
rnacentral:lncRNA from 1 species